GAGAACUGAAACAGAGGAAACAAGCAGUGCUUCAGAAGAUGCUCCUGAAUUUCAAAUUUCUAAUUGUUUUUAAUAUAAGACCUUUAUUUCAAUAAUGGUAACACCAGCAUUGUGUGUUCCUUCUAAGUGAGGAAAUUCAGAAUUUCCAACCAAAGGGGAAAACAAUUCUGGAGGAGUAGUAGGAAACUUUAUUUGUGGUGUGUAGUACACCGACUGGGAAACCAGAAGACAGAACACCACAAGCAAUCCAAGGGCACAAACUAUCCUAGGCGGUCAAGUUUCAAGUUCUAGUUAUGAUUAACAUCUGGAAACAUUAACAACCAUAGAGAUGUCUCUCCGAAGUACCUACUACAGGACUGUAUGCAUUAUGUGAAGGGGAACUGGUGUAACUGGAUGCAUGUUCAAUCUUUUUUGAUAAUGAAAUGCCCUUCUCCACAACCCUCCAGUGGUAUCAAUGGAGCCCAUGUAUGGACCUUGGUCAUCUAGUCUCACCUAACAGUAAUGACGCACUGCUUCCCCCUCAAUUGCAGUUGUCAGUGGAAUACAGGUGGGGAGCCUGGACUUCUGCCUCUUCCUGGCAAUAUCAAGGCACCUCUUCCCCUGCAGCAUCAAUGAAUGCUGAGUAGGGAGCCCAAUGGACUUCACCGACCAUCUAGUAGUAAAGUAUCAGUGGAAACCUACUAAAGCAGAGGAUUUAAGACUUAAGAGUCUUAUAUAAAAUGUUCAGGAUACAACUGAAAAUCACUCAUCAUACUAAGAACCAGGGAAGUCAUGACUUGAUAG